ensembl:lncRNA
AUCCCUCAUAGAUCAUGAGGGAAGCGAGCGGAACCCCCCUGGACCUCGCUAAGACUCGCAGCGGUUCUGCCUGAGACAGCUCCGAGCAGCGAACCUCGGCGAUCAAGCCGAACCUCGGCGAUCAAGGUUGGAAGGCCAACUGUGUCCUGGGCUGAAUUAGAAAAGGGGCGGGCAGCAGGGAGAGGGAGGUGAUUGGACUGUCUGUCCCCUUCUACUUGGCUCCUGUGAGGUCGUCCAGCGGAAAGCUCGUUUCCAGGGCCAGGCUGAGGCACAGGGGCAUCCCACGAAGAGGCAGCAGUGCCGCCCCAAGGAGUCGGCAAAGAUUCCUUUGCCUCCGAGCCACGCAGCAGCCAAGGAGCAAGAGCGUCCCACGGCUAGCGCAGCGCCUCCUGGCCCGGCCAGCACGUCGCUGCUAAAGGGCGCCAGCUGUCAAACGGACUCUGCAGGCCUGCGUGUGGGUGACAUCAAAGCCAGGAGCCAGCGCCGCAGCGCAGCGCUUGCUAUCAUCUCCAAGCUGCAGCUCAGUCAGGCGGCUUUUGGGAAGCUCUCCAUGCACAUGGCCAGAAAAUGCCUGGAGGUAAAGCUUCAACGCUUCCCUGUGGUAGUGCGGAGGUCCAUGCAGAAGCAGCGUGGGGCGCCCCUUGCCUGCCCAGCUGGCACCAGAGCACCGAGAUCCCAGACGGUUCGUAGAUACUUCCCCAGCCGUCAGGCUCUGUUCCUGAAUGAGGAGCAGCGCGAGUGCCUGGAGCUGCACAUCCGCUCCAUGAAGCUGGAGCGCCUUGGGAACCGCCUCAUCUCAGGCAGUCCGUUGAAGCCAGCAGUGCCCCAGGAGGAAGAAUCUGCCAGCACGUAUGUGACCGCACCGUCCGAGGCAUCUUGGGCUGAGGCAAGCCCCAAAGGCCACAGGCGGCAGCCCCGGAAGGGGAAGAAGAGUACCCGCAGUGCCAAAGUGGCAGGCAGCAGCUUUCCACCUGCCAGGGUAACAUUCUGUGGGGUGCAAGAGACCACCACCAGCUACCGCACCUCACUGUUACACAGAGACCCUGACAUGGACAGUUGUACCCACUGACCGUGGCCGCACCAACUAACAAGAAGGUCUUGAGCAAGAUACGCGUGAUACCCCAAGCACCACGGAUCUCUCCCUCUAAGCCCAUCCACGUGUUCAUCAAGGAGAGGAAAGGCCAGGCUCGGUAGCGCCGUCUGUACAAAAAAGUCUUUUUCUUUUUUUCCUAAAUAAAUGAGUG